rfam:Caenorhabditis japonica strain DF5081 Contig18083.18, whole genome shotgun sequence.
ACCUGUGUAGCCAAGUGGCAAAGGCGCGGGCCUCCUGAGCCUGUGGAUGGAUAUUCUUUAGGGGUUCGAUUCCCCUCCCCGGCA